GGAACUGAGCAGUUUCCUGUGCCAGGUGCUUCUGCCUCACCAUACGCCAUGCCCUGAGCCCUCUGAAGCUAUGAACCAACAUAAACCUUUUCUCCUGGUAAAUCGAUUUCAUCAGGUGUUUGUCAGGCAGGCAAAAGUGGACGUGACAUGUACAGUGGCAUGCGCCGAGGACAGAGGACUGGGCACUCUGCACGCAGAGAGGCCAGCUAUCCUCUUCACGGCUGACUUCGCAUGCGGUGUGUGCCAAGGACCUCCAGGAGGCUUAACCCCGUGGGGACGAUACCUCGGGUCUGGUUUCUGCCAGGUGACCGGCAUUGUCACACAGACUCUACUGGAGUGGUCGUGGCAGCAGAGGCUCAUACGGUAUGUUCAUUCUCGGGGCACGGAGGGCAGUGCCCAGGGUCCCUCAGAAUUCCAGUCCCAUGUCAACACCUGGCAUGCGGUGUCAGCCCCCACACUGCUGGCAACCAGAUAAUGCCAUGGGAAAGAUACCUGGCUACAAAACACUUUAAUGUGAUCCUAUUUUCAUUCAGAAAAAAGCAUUCUAAAACAUUUCCCCAAAAUGUUAAUAGCAGUAGAUGAUGGCUCUUUUUUUGGCGGGGGGCGACUUUUUAAAAAAAUUAGUAUUAGUCCAUAUUUGCCCUACAUGGUGCCCACAUUCAUCAUAGGGAAUCUACAUAUCUUAAUUCUUAUUUUUUCCCGUUUCCUUCCCUUCCCUUCAACCUUUUCCCUCCCCAUUUACAGAAGCUUUGUUUCCAUCUUUUCCUUCUUUGUUUUUAAAUCCUUUUCCCGUCCAUUCCUUCCCUCUCCCCGCGCCUCACUACCUUCUCGACUGGAACAUGUUCUUUCUGCUUCACAACCUCUAUCCUCCAGUUUGCUCCUUGUUUACCCUGUUUCUCACACAAGAGAAACAAUGUGAUAUUCAAACUCAUGUGUCUUAUUUCACUGAAAACUAUGGCCUUGAGGUGCAUCUGUUUAACCACCAGUGACUCAGGUUUAUGCUUCUUUAUGGCAGGGUAGUAUUCCACUGUACAUAAAUUCCACAUCUGUAUUCAUUCAUAUAUUGAUGGGCACAAGAUUUAGCUAUGAUAUGCAUUUUGCUCUUAAAAACAUGGGUGUGCUCUAUCACUGUGGUAGGAUGCUUUUAACUCUUUCAGAAAGAUGCCUCGAAGGGGAAUAGCUGGGUCACAUGGAAUGUCUACUUCUGGUGUUUUGAAGAAUCUCCACACCGGUUUUCGUAGAGUUUGGACCAAUUUAUACUCCCACCAACAGUAGAGAAAGUGGCCCCACAGCCCCACCAGCCUUUGUUAUUUCUUUCUUGAUGGCAGUCAUUCUUUCUGGAGUCUCAGUGUUGUUUUAAUUUGCAUUUUUCAAAUGACCAGUGAUGUUGAACAUUUUUUCAUAUAUUUAUUUACUUCUUCAGCUGAGGAGUUUCUAUUCAUUUCAGAUACUUAUUUCUGGAUUGGGUCUUUAAAUUUGGGAGGUCCAGUUUUUUUUAGUUCUUUAUAUAUUCCAGACGUUAGUCCUUUGUCUGAGGAGUAACUGACAACAUUUUCCCCCACACUAUGGAUUGUCUCUUCACUCUGUUGGUGGCUUCUUUUGCUGUGCAAAAGCCUUUUAAUUUUACAUGAUCCCAGUUGUUGAUUCUUCAUAAUAUUUUCUGUGUGAUCAGGAUUUUCUUCAUAAAGUUUUUGUCAAUACUUAGGUCUUCCAGAGUUUUACCCUAUUCUCUCUUCCAGCAGAUUUAGUAUUUCUAUAUUUAUCUUUAGAUGUGUGAUCUGUUUCGAUUUUAGUUUAGUGUGCAUGGUGAACGAUAUGGGUCUAGGUUCAAUCUUCAGCAUGUGAAAAGCCAGUUUUCCCAGCAGUAUUUUUUUUUUUUUUUUUUUUUUUUUUUUU
rnacentral:lncRNA from 1 species